rnacentral:lncRNA from 1 species
UUUUAAUGUUGAUGUGGAUGAAUGUUGGAUGAUCCAUAGCCCUCGAUCUACGAUGUGACGAUGUGAUAUGUACGGUACGGAAUGUAAGACCAGUGGGACCCAUUCUACGUUCGCUGGCACUAUGUAAGGGAAAGACCAGGACCAUUCUACGUUCUGGCACAGUUGGACACUGUUAUGUUAUGAUAUGUUAUAUAAGGGAAAGACCAGGACCCAUUCUACGUUCUGGCACAGUUGGACCAUGUAGAGGGCUAUUGGUGACAAGUUCAUCCUUGAUUGUGAUUAGCUGUGAUGUGAUGCAUUCCAUGAUCCAUAUGAUUUAAAUGUUUUUAUCAUUCUGCUCACUGGGCUCUAGUAGCUCACCCCUCUCCCAAUUUCCCCAGGAUUGCAGGUACAGGGUAGACCAGGAGGUUUACAAGAGUAUUGAAGUUUCGUAUUUGUAAUAGAUAGUGUGGACAUGAUAAAUGUAUUAAUGUUAUGUAAAAGUAC